rnacentral:rRNA from 1 species
CCUACGGGAGGCAGCAGUGAGGAAUAUUGGUCAAUGGACGAGAGUCUGAACCAGCCAAGUAGCGUGAAGGAUGACUGCCCUAUGGGUUGUAAACUUCUUUUAUAUGGGAAUAAAACAGGGUAUGCAUACCCUCUUGUAUGUACCAUAUGAAUAAGGAUCGGCUAACUCCGUGCCAGCAGCCGCGGUACUACGGAGGAUCCGAGCGUUAUCCGGAUUUAUUGGGUUUAAAGGGAGCGUAGGUGGAUUGUUAAGUCAGUUGUGAAAGUUUGCGGCGCAACCGUAAAAUUGCAGUUGAAACUGGCAGUCUUGAGUACAGUAGAGGAGAGCGGAAUUCGUGGUGUAGCGGUGAAAUGCUUAGAUAUCACGAAGAACUCCGAUUGCGAAGGCAGCUCACUGGACUGCAACUGACACUGAUGCGCGAAAGUGUGGGUAGCAAACAGGAUUAGAUACCCCGGUAGUC